rnacentral:sRNA from 1 species
GCCGGGCAUGGUGGCUCAUGCCUGUAAUCCCAGCACUUUGGGAGGCCGAGGUAGGUGGAUGGCUUGAGGCCAGGAGUUCAAGACCAACCUGGCCAACAUGAAGAAAUCUUGUCUCUACUAAAAAUACAAAAAUUAGUUGGGUGUGGUGGCGUGUGCUUGUACUCCCAAUUACUUGGGAGGUUGAGGCAGGAGAAUCACUUGAACCCAGGAGGCGGAGGUUGAAGUGAGCCAAGAUUGCACCAGUGUACUCCAGCCUGGGUGACAUAGUGAAACCCUGUCUCA